UACUGAGGGGGCAAGCGUUGUUCGGAAUUACUGGGCGUAAAGGGCGCGUAGGCGGCCCUCUAAGUCAGACGUGAAAUCCCUCGGCUCAACCGGGGAACUGCGUCUGAUACUGGAUGGCUUGAGUUUGGGAGAGGGAUGCGGAAUUCCAGGUGUAGCGGUGAAAUGCGUAGAUAUCUGGAGGAAUACCGGUGGCGAAGGCGGCAUCCUGGACCGACAUUGACGCUGAACGGCGAAAGCUAGGGGAGCAAACGGG
rnacentral:rRNA from 1 species